UGUUUUUUUUUUGUGACCACAGCAAUACAUCCAGCAGCAUCUAGUUUAGAGGCAGGCCAAUUGUGGAAUGCAGGGUGCUAUAUGCUGCUGGCAAUUUAUUAACAAAACAGAAAAACUCAAGAAAAUAGCAAGCUACAGCCUGCUACAGUAAAAAUAAAACAGUAUGAUGGUUGACAAGUGACUGCCACAUUGGCCACCUUUGAUGCUGAAUCUAGGGAAAGAAACGGACAGAGGUGAAUGGUGCAGUGUUGUGCAGUGGCUGUGGCUAAACAGCGGUUCAGCCUCUUCACAAGGCUGGUCACGGCACACAUGAACACAGACCCGGGCACCCUGGAAUCGCUCCGGUUUUCACAUCGUCCUGGCAGAGCCACAGAUGACACAAUCUCUUUUUCACUUCACUCCCCCCUCUGGACAGGAGGAAUACAUAGUAUGUUGUUCAUAGACCACAGCGCCGCGCUAACGACAAAGUCUCUUCCAAGCUCAUCACUAUGCUCAUGACCCUGGGACUCGAUGCCUCCGUCCGCCACCAGGUACUGGACUUCCUGACAGGCUCCUCAGGUGGUAAGUGCAGGCAAUCCACCCCCCAAGUUCGGACCUCCACCCCCCAAGUUCGGACCUCCACCCCCCAAGUUCGGACC